UCCAACGUUAAUCGGGGCAGGGUGAGUCGACCCCUAAGGCGAGGCCGAAAGGCGUAGUCGAUGGGAAACAGGUUAAUAUUCCUGUACUUGGUGUUACUGCGAAGGGGGGGACGGAGAAGGCUAUGUCAGCCGGGCGACGGUCGUCCCGGUUUAAGCGUGUAGGCUGACUUUCCAGGCAAAUCCGGAAAGUUAAGGCUGAGGCGUGAUGACGAGGCACUACGGUGCUGAAGU
rnacentral:rRNA from 1 species